rnacentral:rRNA from 1 species
UACGGAGGGGGCUAGCGUUGUUCGGAUUUACUGGGCGUAAAGGGUGUGUAGGUGGCUGGAUAAGUCUGGCGUGAAAUCUUCACCGCUUAACGGGAAGGGGUCGCUGGAAACUGUUUAGCUUGAGUAUGGUAGAGGCAAGCGGAAUUCCUGGUGUAGCGGUGGAAUGUGUAGAUAUCAGGAAGAACACCGGUGGCGAAGGCGGCUUGCUGGGCCAUUACUGACACUGAGGCGCGACAGCGUGGGGAGCAAACAGG